AUUGGCAAGUACUUUAUAGUUGUUUCACACUUAUUCUAAUAAUAACUCGAUUGCAGCGUGUUACAUUAGAACUUGGGGGUGAAAGUCCUAUUGGUGUUUGAAGAUGUUGAUAUUGAUAAAGUUGUGGAGUGGACUAUAUUUGGUUGUUUCUGAAUGAUUGCCACUUGAUCUUUAUUUCAAGAUAAAAAUGGUGUCGUUGGAGCUUCAGAAGCGGCUCGCCGACGAUAUCCUCAAGUGUGGUCGUGGCAAGGCUUGGCUUGAUCCUAAUGAAGGCAAUGAGAUUUCAAUGGCUAAUUCCCGCCAAAACAUCAGGAAGCUUGUUAAGGAUGGGUUUAUCAUCAGGAAGCCUACCAAUAUUAAUUCGAGGUCUCGAGCUCGUCGUAUGAAUGAGGCAAAGAGGAAGGGUCGUCACUCUGGAUACGCAUUUGAAGAAAGGUUGUUACAUUUAACCCACCAUUGUAACUGAUCUCCACAUCCAUGCAAAUAUGGAAAGAGGAAGUUUUUGGCUCUGUCUUGUGUGUUGAAACAUUUAGUUCUGAAGAUGAAGCCAUUGCAUUGGAAAAUGAUACAGAGUACUGCUGUGUUUUCUAAAGAUAUUGAAAGGUGUGAGAGGAUAACGAAGAUAUGUCAGUGUCAAAAGUGCAGAAUCUAUGACUGCUAUUAGAGUGUCUUUUGCGUCUGUCAGUAUGGGAGACGAAAAGCCCUUUGCCUUAAUCUUCAGUCGCUAAUAGGAAGUAUUUCAACUAAGGAUGCCGACCACAUUAAUAAUAAGGCAGUUGCUUCAAAGUGGAACAAAAUACGCGUGCGCUGUUCGGAGAUCAGAUUACAACAUACAAAGAUGCCCUCCAGCACAAAGGGACUUAUGAAAUCACAGAUGCUCCAAUCCAAUCUGCAGACUAGCAGUGGAAACGAAGCGAAUUUGAGAUGAUAUGAGAAUGUUAGCUGAUUAUGAUAAGCUCAUGCUUUUAUGGUAAUGUUAGCUGAUUGUUAUAAGCUCUUGUUUUAGCUUAUUGUGAUAAACCCUUAUUUUAGCUUAUUGUGAUAAACCCUUAUUUUAGCUUAUUGUGAUAAACCCUUGUUAUUGGCAUUGAAUGUUGAUUGGUACUAGAAUCAUUAUCGUUUGUCCCCUUGAUUAUAUACAGAUUAGUGU